CUGCCUCUACACCACUCCCCCAUAUCUGGACCUCAAUCUGAAGAGAUACCUGGACGCCUUGUCGGACUGGAAUCUCCUCCCCAGAAUUCUGGACUUUCUUCGGACCUCACUGCCAACUCGUCUGCCUGGCUCAGCACAUUCCAAGCCCCUCUGGACCACUUGGACUUUCCCUAAAAGCCAUUUGACUCUGCUCCCUGCACAUUCUAUAUUUUGUAAAUAAACACUGGCUUUUACUCAUUGGCCUGAGCAAAAAGAGCUGAAAGGAUGCAAAACAGAUGCUGAGCUUGCAUUUCUGCUGUUGGACUCCAAUAAGCCACUAGCUGCAGGCUGUACAGAGAGCGAAGCAGAGACAGAGGGAGGCAGCGCUGGAGCUGAAACCAGAGAGCGGUCCCAACCCAGCCCAGCCCAGCCCGACUGGCGGCCCACCACCACCUCUGCUGCCUCCCUUAAGCCUUCAUUUGAUCCCCUCUCCAGAAGCCAACCAGUAGAGGAAAUGUCAGUCUUCUAGCCAGCCAGGAAACCUCCAUGACCAAACAAGGAGCUUCCUUCCCUGACACAGCUCUUCCUGUGGGCUAUAGAAUAUGUCAGCAGAGCCUGUUGUGUUGAUGAAGCAAUUAACCUCAUCCUGCUCUUUCCAGGCAUCAGUUGGACGGUUUUACAGACUAGUAAAUGUAUUAUAUCACAGCUCAGGAUGGAACAGAUGCAUGGGCAACUGAUUUGGCUGUCUAAUCUGAUGAGAUGUGGGCAGAAUGACUAGCAAGUGUUAUAAAUUCCUGAUAAGUGCAACUGCAGGAAACAGAAAGCCUGUGAUGACAGAGGGAGGCAUUUUAUUUGUCCAUGCUGUGAAAGAGGGCAAGGCAGUUCAUCCACUUCUCUUCAACUAUACACGCGCCAGCCACUUGUCUUCUAUGGCAGAGCUCAGCCGGUCCAAUCCCCUCAACAGAUGCAAGACUUCCACUGUGUUCAGCUGCCAGGACGAUGGAGGUCUUCCAAUUUGACGCCUCUCCUUACUAGAACUCGCCUCUGGGCAGGUGUAUUAAAAAAGCAAAAUGUAGAUGAAGAUUGUGAAGUUACAGUUACGAGGACAUCGGAGUGCGGCUGCAGGCGACCAUGGAGAAGGAGCGAUCUGACACGAGUGUUGCGCAGACAGAUUUGACAGGCUCUGCACUGAUCAAAUAAAUUAAAUUAAAUAAACUG